AUGCAAGUCGAACGAAGUAGCAAUACUUAGUGGCAGACGGGUGAGUAACAUGUGGGUAUCUACCCUUUGGCCUGGAAUAACACGAGGAAACUUGUGCUAAUACCGGAUAAGUCUUUACGGAGAAAGCUUUAUGCACCAUUGGAUGAGCCCGCACUUGAUUAGUUUGUUGGUAGGGUAAUGGCCUACCAAGACUAUGAUCAAUAGCUGAUUUGAGAGGAUGAUCAGCCACAUUGGGACUGAGACACGGCCCAAACUCCUACGGGAGGCAGCAGUGGGGAAUCUUGCACAAUGGAGGAAACUCUGAUGCAGCGAUGCCGCGUGAGUGAAGAAGGCCUUUGGGUUGUAAAGCUCUUUCGUCGGGGAAGAAAAUGACUGUACCCGAAUAAGAAGGUCCGG
rnacentral:rRNA from 1 species